UUAGUGUUCGGAAAACACUUUCCUGUUAGUCCGCGAAGUCGCAGAGAAAACAAUGACCAUUGGAAAGAGCUCCAGGAAGUCCGCCAAAUCCCCCAAGUUCCUGGACCGGGCCAGUGGCUUCUACGGGCGCCUGGAUGACACGAAGGCUGAGACAGCCGGAGGGGAUGUGCUGAUGGAACAGAAUCAUGAGCGGGAGAGGACGGGAAAGAGAAAUCUGCAAAAUCUGCAAGGGGGACGGCGCCGCUUGUCCGGCGAGCCCAGCGUCUUCGAUUUCGAUGGUGGCGUGAUGGAGGAUGACGGGAAGGCCUCGCUGCUGAGGAAGAAGCCGAGCCGCGACGGCGGCCGCUGGAGGAGGAGGAGGAGCAGCUCCGGGAAGCGGGUGGACGGCCAGUCAGAGGUUCUUCCUGCCAGCAAGGAGAACCAGAUUCCAGCCUCUGCUAGAGAAGCGUUGUCCCCGCUGUCCAUCCCUGCGGAGGAAGAGAGUCAUUCCAGUCCUGCGCAGAUACACUUUUCCAUCGGGGAAGAUGGAGACGAUCAGGCUCCCAUCUGGAAGAAGAAAAGAGGAAAAGAACUGGAUGUCCAGCAUGGAGAGGAAGUGAAACUGGGAAAGAGAAGCACCCUACGCAGCUACAGACGGGCCAUUGACCGAGCGUUCCGCAGAGGUUGGGAGACUUUUAUUGCCAAUCUGAAUAGCGUGACCCUCGCACCCAUCUCAUCUUCAUCCUCACACUCAUCGUCGCCAGCAGGAUUUCAUCAAAACUCGGCAAUUGCCGAGUACCGAUAGGAUCAAGCACACAGAGGACCCUGGACACCUCACAUCUGCAUAUUCUGAUAUUAAUAGAUGAUACAUUCAUAGUGACAUAUUUAUUUUAUUUACAGAUGAGUUUUGCACAUGAAUGUAACAAUUUUUUCAGAAUUAAAUCGUGUUUCGUGUAAUUUAUAGCUACAAAAUUUAAAGACUGUUCUGUGAUUAUGCUAAUUCUGAACACUAUUCAGACAUGCGCAGUGACAGAUCGACCCCUGUUCAUGCUCAGUUUCCAUACUUUUUAAUACACACAUCACAAAUAACCUUGUGCAUCAUGACGUUACUACUGAGUGUCAGGUUUUACUGAUUCUUACAGGUGUCUCAGCAUAAAUCCAGGAUGUACUUCUAUGACUAAGAAGGUUUCAUGUUAUACAUCUGAGUCCUUGAAUUUGAACCUCUUAUGAGAAUCCCUGUCACACCGCCCUGGAAUGGAACAUUGCCUGAAAACCAAGAUGGGACAUAUGCUGUAAAACUGUAAAUAAAUUUGUUUUAAAGGUCUUCA
rnacentral:lncRNA from 1 species